UACGUAGGGGGCAAGCGUUGUCCGGAUUUAUUGGGCGUAAAGCGCACGUAGGCGGCUUUUCAAGUCGGAUGUGAAAUCCCUCGGCUUAACCAAGGAAGUGCAUCCGAAACUGGAAGGCUUGAGUACUUAAGAGGAUCGCGGAAUUCCCGGUGUAGAGGUGAAAUUCGUAGAUAUCGGGAGGAACACCAGUGGCGAAGGCGGCGAUCUGGGAAGAUACUGACGCUGAGGUGCGAAAGCGUGGGGAGCAAACAGGG
rnacentral:rRNA from 1 species